GUCUUCCUCUGUCGCCAGGAUGGAGUGCAGUGGCACGAUCUCCACUCACUGCAACCUGUGCCUCCCGGGUUCAAACAAUUUUCCUGCCUCAGCCUCCCAAGUAGCUGGGACUACAGGUGUGCGGCACCACGCCCAGCUAAUUUUUUUGUAUUUUAGUAGAGACGGGUUUUCAGCACGUUGGCCAGGCUGGUCUCAAUCUCUUGACCUUGUGAUUUGCCCACCUUGGCCUCUCAAACUGCUGGAAUUACAGGCGUGAGUCACUGCACCCAGCUGGCUAAGUUUUGUAUUUUUAGUUGAGACGGGGUUUGCCAUGUUGGCCAGGCUGGUGCAGUUUUGAUUUUAUGUUUAUUUCUACAUUCUAAAAUUAAUAUGUUUUCCCCACUUCACUGCACACCUGCUUCCACUGUGUCACUCGCACCUGCCACAGAGGCCGACACGCAAGCGCUUGUACAUUCGGUGGAGAUGGGAAAGAACGUGGCCUGCAAACGCAGAGCUGUGACCCCCAAAUAACACUGUUCCUCUCCUCCUCUCCCUUCCUGUGAGGGGAAAGACCCACUUAGCCCUGAGCCCCAUCUCUCAGCAUCUGGGUCUGAAAGAGGCAGCCAGUCCCUGUGAGCCCCAAAGCCCUGACCUCAGAGCUGCAGGAGAGAGCUGGGAGCUGCGAGGUGGGAGCUGGGAGCUGGGAGCUGCGAGGUGGGAGCUGGGAGGUGGAAACUGGGAGGAGGGAGGCGGGAGCUGGGAGCUGGCAGGUGGGAGGCAGGAGCUGGGAGCUGGGAGGCGGGAGCCGGGAGGUGGGAGCUGGGAGGCGGGAGGUGGGAGCUGGGAGGAGGGAGGUGGGAGCUGGGAGGUGGGAGCUGGGAGGUGGGAGGUGGGAGCUGGGAGGUGGGAGCUGGGAGGAGGGAGGCGGGAGCUGGGAGGUGGGAACUGCGAGGAAAGAGGUGGGAACUGGAAGGUGGGAGGAGGGAGCUGGGAGGUGGGAGCUGGAAGGUGGGAGGUGGGAACUGCGAGGAAAGAGGUGGGAGCUGGCAGGUGGGAACUGGGAGGUGGGAACUGCGAGGAAGGAGGUGGGAACUGGAAGGUGGGAGGUGGGAGCUGGGAGGUGGAAACUGGAAGGAGGGAGGUGGGAGCUGGGAGCUGGAAGAUGGGAGCUGGGAGGUGGGAACUGUGAGGAAAGAAGUGGGAACUAGAAGGUGGGAGGAGGAAGCUGGGAGGUGGGAACUGGGAGGAGGGAAGAGGGAGCUGGGAGGUGGGAGCUGGGAGGUGGGAACUGAGAGGAGGGAGGCGGGGUUGGAAGGUGGGAACUUGGAGGAGGGAGGCGGGAGCUGGAAGGUGGGAGCUGGGAGGAGGGAGGCAGGAGGUGGCAGGGGAGGUGAGAGGAGGGAGGCGGGAGCUGGGAGCUGGGAACUGGGAGGAGGGAGGAGACAGGGGCUGUAAGGUGGGAGGCGGGAGCUGGGAGGUAGGAGGUGGGAGCUGGGAACUGGGAGGAGGGAGGCGGUAGCUGGGAGGUGGGAGGCGGGAGCUGGGAGGUGGGAGCUAGGCGGCGGGAGGAGGGAGGUGGGAGCUGGGAACUGGGAGGAGGGAGGCAGGAGCUGGGAGGUGGGAGGCGGGAGCUGGGAGGUGGGAACUGGGAGCUGGGAGGUGGGAAUUGGAAGGAGGGAGGAGGGAGGUUGGAGCUGGGAGGUGGGAGCUGGGAGCUGGGAACUGGGAGGAGGGAGGUGGGAGCUGGGAGGUGGGAACUGGAAGGAGGGAGGUACCUCUCUGGCCUGACGUAGGAGUAGAUUGUGUCCGAAGGAGGCAGAGGAUCAAACCCCAUCACAGACUGCGUGGUCACGUCCUUCAGAAAGGGACAUAAAACGAAGAUGCUACAGAUGCUGCCAGGGGGCCUCUACCUCUCCCAGCAGAGUCCUUCUGUCGACUCCAGCAUGGACUGGAUGCAUCUGCUGAGAGAUAGCCACAGAGUCUGACAGAAACGGCUGUGCUUUUUGUACCAACGAGCUUUGGGUGAGGGUGGGACAGUCCUUCUGCCACCAGGACACUCACGGGAGUCGAGAUGAACCUGCACGGCGUCUGCCCUGCACACCAGAGUGUGUGGUGGGGAAGGAAGGGGGUCACGUGCCGCUCAAGCCUGCCAACAUCUUCACCACGUGUCAGAAGCUCCCACUUCAGCAAAUGCAGGCUACAGGGACCCUGAGCUGCCCUCGGGUUGCACAGUGCCACGUGCUGCCACUCUACUGAGGAGAGUCAGAAGCUCACAGCCCCAGACAAAGCCAGCCAUGCCGGUCAUAAGGGCCCGCAGAGCAGCUGAAGUUAAACCAGGAGGCACUAAGCUGUCCCCAGUGGACGGUCCACGGUCCUGCGACCCUCUGACUUGCUGGUUUUCUCACUCGUUCUAUCUUAUCCCUUAACAACAGUACAAACUCCUUAGGUUUUGAGACAGAAACGGCACCUCCAGCACAGGAGGCGUCAGAGCAGGACUACACCCCACGACUACAGAGAAUCCCCCAGCAGCCGCACCACGCGCUCACAAGACCACGGAUGGAGCAGCUCACCACGGUGACGACUCAGCUUGUGCUCUGAGCCCCAAAGGAUUUCUCUCUCAAAACAACAAGCAUCCGAACCCGGGCUGCCAGGAAAGGAGGAGCCCUCUGCACUAGACCCUGCCCCUGCCGUGGCGGGGCUGGGCUGCUGAGGGAGCCCGCACCACGCACGCCUGCAUGUGGACCGCCCGGAGCAGAAGGGACGUGCAUGUGACCGGCUUACACAGAGCUCCCAUUUCAGCCUUUCUCCCUUACCGGGGGCAGGGCAGCGACGGCUUCCUUGAUCUCAGAGAGGAUCACAUGGCGGUGGAUAUUCCUGGGUGCACGCUGGUAGAGCACCUUCCGCCUAGGGCCGGGGAGAAACAAGGCACAGCAGAUAAAGCACAGCAAAUGAAAUGGUAACCGCCAUGGAGCCUCGGCCCCCACCCCCACCCAGCACGAGGCAUCUCGCUGCAUCUCUGGUGGCUGCAAAAACUGUACACUUUACUCUCGAGCAGAGGCACCAUGGCUGGUCCCUGGCCUGCGGCUGGGGAGCCUCUGGGGACCAAUCCCAGCCACAUGGCCAGUGACUCAGCCUCUUCAUCCAAAGAACAAGAACGAUGAGAGCCGUAGCCAGUGGCUUCUUGUGGGAAGUCACUGAGUUCAUCUCCAUGAAGGGACACCUGGGUGUGUCACCAUCGUCACUGCUACGGCUACAGGCACAGGCACUGGUCCCUGCUGGAAAUCGCUCUUGGAGAGCAGUACAGGGAACAAAAUGCUCCUGUCCAUGAGAAUGUCCAGUCCAGUGGGGACAGCAGACACGCGGACGGGCCCAUGACUGCCAGCGGCUGGGGGCACCAGCGCCUCUUGGGCACCCCCGGGCACACCUCAUGUCCGCGGCACACAGACUUCACUGUGGAGAUGCAAAUGGGCACCACUCCCAGGCGGUCCUGAGCCUGGCCACACCACUGCACAGAGCCACGGUGCUGAUGCACAGAACUAGCACAGGGCCAAGGGCGCAGACAAACGAGACAAGAACAGCAAGGGGAUGCCUGUCAGUUGCAGCAUAUUAGGGCAUGAGCCUCCGAAGUGUUCACACACAGGACAGGAGACUCUUUCUCGUCUCUGCCAGAUUUCUUUACUCCCAAGAUGCUGCUGUGAGAGACUCGUCAUCAUCUCACAGCUCAUGUGGAAACACUGCAAGACCCGAAGGCACCACUCCAGCCCGAGGCACCCGGGAACAGCAGCUCGGUACCCUGCGCUGAUCACCACAGCUGCCUCCCAGGAAGCCUCUGGGACACGCCAGGGGCUGUGCGCUGUCUUGUAGGCUCCACACAGGCCCCACAGCAAGGGAGGCCAAGCUGCUCACAGCCCUUCUCGCCUCCCGAAUGCGAGGCCCCCGUGUCUGGGAUGAGGGUCCCUGAGGAGGGGGCGUGGCAGGGCUUGUGUCAACCCCUAGCUCACCGGUUCUCACAGGCUUCCACGGCUGGGUCCCCGGCGUCCACUGCUUGCAGAACCUCGUGGACGUUCUCCUCCAGCCAGCUCAUGGUGGC
rnacentral:lncRNA from 1 species